rnacentral:rRNA from 1 species
CAAGUCGAACGAGCGAGAGAGAGCUUGCUUUCUCGAGCGAGUGGCGAACGGGUGAGUAACGCGUGAGGAACCUGCCUCAAAGAGGGGGACAACAGUUGGAAACGACUGCUAAUACCGCAUAAGCCCACGGCUCGGCAUCGAGCAGAGGGAAAAGGAGCAAUCCGCUUUGAGAUGGCCUCGCGUCCGAUUAGCUAGUUGGUGAGGUAAUGGCCCACCAAGGCGACGAUCGGUAGCCGGACUGAGAGGUUGAACGGCCACAUUGGGACUGAGACACGGCCCAGACUCCUACGGGAGGCAGCAGUGGGGAAUAUUGCACAAUGGGGGAAACCCUGAUGCAGCGACGCCGCGUGGAGGAAGAAGGUCUUCGGAUUGUAAACUCCUGUUGUUGGGGAAGAUAAUGACGGUACCCAACAAGGAAGUGACGGCUAACUACGUGCCAGCAGCCGCGGUAAAACGUAGGUCACAAGCGUUGUCCGGAAUUACUGGGUGUAAAGGGAGCGCAGGCGGGAAGACAAGUUGGAAGUGAAAUCUAUGGGCUCAACCCAUAAACUGCUUUCAAAACUGUUUUUCUUGAGUAGUGCAGAGGUAGGCGGAAUUCCCGGUGUAGCGGUGGAAUGCGUAGAUAUCGGGAGGAACACCAGUGGCGAAGGCGGCCUACUGGGCACCAACUGACGCUGAGGCUCGAAAGUGUGGGUAGCAAACAGGAUUAGAUACCCUGGUAGUCCACACCGUAAACGAUGAUUACUAGGUGUUGGAGGAUUGACCCCUUCAGUGCCGCAGUUAACACAAUAAGUAAUCCACCUGGGGAGUACGACCGCAAGGUUGAA